UGCGAGUGAAGCGGCAAAAGCUCAAAUUUGAAAUCGGUGUGCCUAAAGUACAUUGAGUUGUAAUUUGGAGGGACAACUUCGGGCUGAACCACACCGUAAGUUUCUUGGAACAGGACAUCAUAGAGGGUGAGAAUCCCGUGUCUUGGUGUCGGGUCAAACCAUGUGAAGUGUCUCCGACGAGUCGAGUUGUUUGGGAAUGCAGCUCAAAAUGGGUGGUAAAUUUCAUCUAAAGCUAAAUAUUGGCGAGAGACCGAUAGCGCACAAGUAGAGUGAUCGAAAGAUGAAAAGCACUUUGAAAAGAGAGUUAAAAAGUACGUGAAAUUGUUGAAAGGGAAGCGCUUACGACCAGACUCGAUCUUUGGUGAUCAGCCAGACUUCGGUUUGGUGCCCUCGCCAUUGAUUGGGCCAGCAUCGGUUCUGACGGUGGGAUAAAAGGAGGAGGAAUGUAGCUCCUCUCGGGGAGUGUUAUAGCCACCUUCACAAUGCCGCCAGUCGGGACCGAGGACCGC
rnacentral:rRNA from 1 species